rnacentral:rRNA from 1 species
UACGGAGGAUCCGAGCGUUAUCCGGAUUUAUUGGGUUUAAAGGGAGCGUAGGCGGGUUGUUAAGUCAGUUGUGAAAGUUUGCGGCUCAACCGUAAAAUUGCAGUUGAUACUGGCAUCCUUGAGUACAGUAGAGGUAGGCGGAAUUCGUGGUGUAGCGGUGAAAUGCUUAGAUAUCACGAAGAACUCCGAUUGCGAAGGCAGCCUGCUGGACUGUAACUGACGCUGAUGCUCGAAAGUGUGGGUGAUCAACAAG